GGGUCAAGGCCCAAGUAGAUCAAGUCCGAGAACCGUUACAACAAAGCUCAAAACAGGCUCAAAUCUACACUAAAACCAAAUAAAAAGAUGAAAGUCUAACAACUAAACCCGAACAACAAGGCCCAGAAAAAAACACCGCCCCAAAGCAAACACGACGGGCACACGUAUUUAAACCUCAACAGCGAGGCACACGUGCCACCAAUUCCCUACUCCUUUCCCCAUCGUCGGAGGAAGCAAGCGACGUAUUGCUGGAAAACGCACCGGAUAUAUCACCACCACUGUCCAUGGCUGAGCUCUUUUCACGGAGAGUUUCCAUCGAACCACGUCGAGAUCUCAUCCGAGCCUCCAAGCCGCCAAUCACGAGAUUAAGAAAUCCCACACCUCCAUCUUGUUUGUCUUCAACACCUUCGCUUCAUCACCAUCGGAGAGCAUCAAUCGAUCUAUUCGAGAUCUCUUCCAAAGGAACCAGACCGGCAACACACGAAACACAUGCACUGUGAUAAUGAUUUU
rnacentral:lncRNA from 1 species